rfam:Camelus ferus unplaced genomic scaffold scaffold715, whole genome shotgun sequence.
GAGCAUGUAGCUCAGCGCUAGAGCACAUGCUUAGCAUGCAUAAGGUCCUGGGUUCAAUCCCCAGCACAUCCA